ACAGUAUGUAUGCAUGGUGGGGUGCAGAGAGUGGGGUGGCCAGCGGGUGAUGAGUGAGGGGAGAAGACAACAGGAGAUAGGAGGCCAUGGUCUGACCUUCCUCCAAAGCCCGGAAUCCCUGAGUCUGUCUCUGGCAGCUGUGAAACAGAGGGAGCAUGGGAUCUGAACCGUGCCGCCAUCUGGGAGGUCACACACACUCACAGCCAACCCCCCGGAAGGAAACUCGGGCUGAAAUACACCAUUUGCUGAAGAGCAGGGCUGGGCACUGGUUUCUCUGCGUUCUGAAUUUCUAGAAAGGGUAGGGUCUCCGUUGCCAGGCGGCGUCUGCCACCUCUUCCCACCGCCGCCCCUCCAGCCCUCCACCCCUUCCCCUGGGAGACCCCCUGUGAGGACCCUCAGCAAACUUCUGCAAAACCUGACAGGCCCUGGGUGCAGGGUGGUGUGGACGCAGAUCUUUCAGGCCGAGGGGGAGGCGGCGGGAGUGUGGGCGUGGAGGUGCGAGAGGCGCGCAGCCUCCGCCUGCCCAGCUGUCUCUGCGGACCCCGCCGAGGGAGGGAGAGAAGCGCUAGGAAAAGGAAGAGGAGAAGGAGCUCGAGCGGGAGGCAAGCGAGAGGCUCUCUUGCUCCUCCCAAAGCAGGGGGCGGCUCCACUGUGCUUCUGAUGACCCGGCCGCCGCCGCCGCCCUGCAACCGCUCCCCGGGACCCGUCAACGCUGACACUGAUGACCCGCGGUGGGGGCGCUGGGCGCGGGGUGCGCAGGCCACUGGCCGCGGGCUCUCGGGCCCACUCCUGCCGCCGGCUUCCGCUGCUUCCGCGUGCCGUGGACACUGCCAGAAUUUGUCAAAGGUCCUAGGAAGAAAAGGCUCUUUCACCCCUCCCCUCAAUGAACAGAUGUGGAGAAUUCGCUGCAGGAGGAGAGAGCCAAUUGGAACUAGGCAAGUUAACAGGAGCUUCCAAACGGACUGAUGGAUAGAACCCAUCAACAGAAACCUUGGAGCAAGCACUCCUGGAGAUUCGUUGAUUUGUUCUUUGUUCAUUUAUCCAGCACAUUUUUGUUGAGGGCCUACAUUGUAUUUGACACUGUGGAUUAAGGAUCAUUAAACAGAUAAGUAGGGACUGUGCCCUCACAACCUAGUGAGAAAGUUCAAAGCUGAACAUUUGUUACACAUGUGAUGCAUGUUAUCAAAGUGGAGGUGCAGACCAUUCGGGGGUGUAACACAGGGCACUCAGUCAUUCUAGGAGCACAGGGCCUUCUCCCCUGAGAAAUUGCCUGGUUCUGGGGUCAGUGUGAGAAAUGCAGGGACUCUCAAAUCAUUGUUGCCCUGUGUCUUCUAACUCCAAGCUGCUCUCUGCUUUUCUCCUCCUGCCCAAUCCCAGCUCUGGUUUCCCUGUUUAUCUAAGAAGAAGAAAGGGCUCCAAAGGGCUGUGGGAAUGGGGAGAGGGCAGGACUACCUGCAGCCCGCUCCCUCCCUGUGAAAGUCUCGCCAGCCUUGUGGAAUGUUGUCUUUCCGUAGGGCUUCUUCCACCUAAUUCUUCAGAAGGGAUUUGAAGGUCUUCUACCAACCGUGCUUCCCCCCUUCCCUUUUCAAAAAAUUCCCUUACUUAGAUUGCAUUAAUAAAACCAUAUUGUCUGGAUGAAAGGAGAAGAUGAACCUGUUCUAGUAUGUGAGGGACAAACCAGACUUGAGUAUUGUUUGCAAUUCUCAUAUUCAGACAACCACAAAACACGACUGAUUUUAAGGAGGGUGGCCAGGGGGGUGAAAGAACUUGGAAGCAUGGCUCAUGGAAAACAUAGAGAACUGGAAUGUUUCACCAGAAGACAUAGGGUGGCAUGACAACCCUGCUCCAAAGCCUGAAGGACUGUCCUAAGGAAGAAGACAAAUGCCAAUUAAUGCCCCAACAUAAGAGCAAAGGUCAAUGGGCUAAAGUCAAAAUAACAGAUUUUUAAAAUCUCAAUAUUUUAGAAAAAGGAAUUUUAUGAGAAUUGCUGGAAAUGGAGUGGAGACCACAGGGGAUUGAGAAGUGGUGAGUUCUCCACAGGAGAAAUGCAAGCAGUGGCUCAACAGCCAUUUAGCAGGGAUAUUUUUAAAAGGAAGACAAAGUUAGGUAAAGUAAUAGGCUCAGGCUCUGUAAGACACCACUCACACUUGGCAGCACAUGAUUCUCUGUGCAAGUCAAAUUAAUCUGGUUUUCAUCCUAAGCCUUCAGUCGCUGUCAUCGUCUUUCCCAGGUUGUCUCUACCAAGCCCUCCAGAAGCCCUUCAAGACCUGGUAUGGGAGGAACGUCUCUUUGGGGGCGCUCAGAGAGCCUCUCUGAGCUCUGGCUCUGUUUUGUCCACCACAGUGUCUGCCCAAUUAUGGCAUCCGCGUUCUCCCCAGCUGAGAGCCACUGAGCACACCGGGCCAUCUAUCCAUCUCACUGUUAAGUACAGAAAAGAGAAAACGCCUAAUCUCUUCCUACCUCCUCUCAAAGUUUGAGGCUUAUUUCCUCUCAAACUUCAAAUCUCGAGUCUUGCCGCCAGAAACCACUGAGAAGCCACUGACUUGCCUCAGCAGCACACAAGUCUGUCAGCUCUAGAAGUUGAUUGUGCACCCCAGAUUAAGAAGAACUUGUGUUUCCAGCCUGUCUAAGAUGGUUUCCACUCAUAUCACUUCAGGUGCAGCUCCCUCAUAUGCUACAGCAUGUGGUACCUUUAAAUGGCAAACUUUUCUAAAAAGGCAGAAAGCAAAAUGGAUUCAAUCCAGGAGAACUAAUCCUGGAAAAUCAAAAUCUUCCACAUGGGGGUGAUGAUAAACAGAUGCCUCUCAUCUCGACAAAUGAAAGGUCACCGACAGACAGUGCAGAGUAAUUAUUAAAUAACUUCUCCCAUUUGUUCAGGAUCAGUAGCGACCUCAUUACCUAGAUCCAAAGACAAAAUCUCUAAAUCCUGGGCAUGGAU
rnacentral:lncRNA from 1 species